CUAUUUAAAAAGAAGCACUUGUACUAAAAUUAGAAUGAUACAGUACAGAUUAGUAUGGCCUGCUCAAGGAUGACAUACAAAUUUAUAAAGCAUUUCAAGUUUUU